AUUGAACGCUGGCGGCAGGCCUAACACAUGCAAGUCGAACGAGUGGCGGACGGGUGAGUAAUGUCUGGGAAACUGCCUGAUGGAGGGGGAUAACUACUGGAAACGGUAGCUAAUACCGCAUACCAUCAGAUGUGCCCAGAUGGGAUUAGCUAGUGGGUGGGGUAACGGCGCACAAAGGCGACGAUCCCUAGCUGGUAUGAGAGGAUGACCAGCCACACUGGAACUGAGAAACGGUCCAGACUUCUACGGGAGGCAGCAGUGGGGAAUAUUGCACAAGGGGCGCAAGCCUGAUGCAGCCAUGCCGCGUGUAUGAAGAAGGCCUUCGGGUUGUAAAGUACGUUCAGCGGUGAGGCGUUACCCGCAGAAGAAGCACCGGCUAACUCCGUGCCAGCCGCCGCGGUAAUUC
rnacentral:rRNA from 1 species